rnacentral:rRNA from 1 species
UAAGGAAUUUUGGACAAUGGGCGAAAGCCUGAUCCAGCCAUGCCGCGUGAGUGAAGAAGGCCUUCGGGUUGUAAAGCUCUUUUAGUCGGAAAGAAAGAGUCGCAAUGAAUAAUUGUGAUUUAUGACGGUACCGACAGAAAAAGCACCGGCUAACUACGUGCCAGCAGCCGCGGUAAUACGUAGGGUGCGAGCGUUAAUCGGAAUUACUGGGCGUAAAGGGUGCGCAGGCGGUUUUGCAAGUCAGAUGUGAAAGCCCCGGGCUUAACCUGGGAAUUGCGUUUGAAACUACAAGGCUAGAGUGCAGCAGAGGGGAGUGGAAUUCCAUGUGUAGCAGUGAAAUGCGUAGAGAUGUGGAAGAACACCGAUGGCGAAGGCAGCUCCCUGGGUUGACACUGACGCUCAUGCACGAAAGCGUGGGGAGCAAACA